UCCGCAUCUUGACGAGCGGCAACGCCGGCUGCUGAUGGCUGUCGAGGCACGUGUCCUGGGACAUGGCGGCGUUCGGGCCGUCGCGCGGGC
rnacentral:tRNA from 1 species